AGUUGUUUUUUUCUGCUACGAUUGUAACUGGUAAAAGGAUUAGGAAAUGAAUUAAUGUUUGUUUUAGAAGUGUAAGAAAUGGUAUAAAAUCGCAAGUUGAGAAGAUAUUGUUCACCACUAGAUUUGUUUGCCAGAAUUAUUCUGUUCAUCUAUCAAAGAGGAAAGAGAAGAUGAAGACUUUUAUCAUUUUACUUGUUCUCAGCGUCUUUGCUGUCGCUUUUGCUGGUCAGCCAUCAGCAUGCAGAAUUCAACAACAAAUGGUUAGACAAUCGGGUGACAAAAGCGCUUUCAUGCCAAGAUGCGCGCCAAAUGGUGAUUAUGCUAAAGAGCAGUGCAGACCAAACAAGGAUGGAAUUCUGUUCUGCUGGUGUGCCAACACAGAGGGAAUUAGGCAAACAAAAUCUAAACAAGGACACCAAAACUGCUAAUAGUACGCAGCAUGAAAAUCAUUGUGAAAUAAACUUUGAAUUUUAAAACAAA